rnacentral:rRNA from 1 species
GAUGAACGCUGGCGGCGUGCCUAAUACAUGCAAGUCGAGCGAACAGACGAGGAUCUUGCUCCUCUCACGUUAGCGGCGGACGGGAGAGUAACACGUGUAUAACCUACCUAUAAGACUGGGAUAACUUCGGGAAACCGGAGCUAAUACCGUAUAAGAUAUUGAACCGCAUGGUUCAAUAGUGAAAGACGGUUUUGCUGUCACUUAUAGAUGGAUCUGCGCGGCAUUAGCUAGUUGGUAAGGUAACGGCUUACCAAGGCAACGAUGCGUAGCCGACCUGAGAGGGUGGUAGGCCACACGGGAAGUGGGACGGGGUCCAUGCGCCUACGGGACGGCGCAGUCGGGAAUGGUCCGCAGUGGGCGGGAGCAUGACGGAGCAAGCGCGAGCGAGUGAUGGAGGUCCUCGGAGCGGAAAAACCUCUUACUAGGGAAGAACCAAUGUCUCAGUAACUAAGGCCGUAUUGACGGUACCUAGUAAGAAAGCACCGGCUAACUACGUG